UCUGUGUACUGUUUCAAUCGUUUUUAGAGGAAAUGCUUCCUUGUCCAGGUGGAUGAUUAUUCACGCACGAGUGUACCUAGUAUAUGGGCUGUUGGAGAUGUUACUAAUCGAAUGAAUCUUACGCCCGUGGCUUUAAUGGAGGGAUCAUUCUUUGCAAACACUGUUUUUGGUGGUGAACCUACCAAACCAGAUUACAAUCAUGUGCCCUAUGCUGUAUUCUGCAUACCUCCUCUCUCUGUUGUGGGCCUAAGU